AGAGUUUGAUCAUGGCUCAGAUUGAACGCUGGCGGCAGGCCUAACACAUGCAAGUCGAGCGGCAGCGGAAAGUAGCUUGCUACUUUGCCGGCGAGCGGCGGACGGGUGAGUAAUGUCUGGGAAACUGCCUGAUGGAGGGGGAUAACUACUGGAAACGGUAGCUAAUACCGCAUAACGUCGCAAGACCAAAGAGGGGGACCUUCGGGCCUCUUGCCAUCAGAUGUGCCCAGAUGGGAUUAGCUAGUAGGUGGGGUAACGGCUCACCUAGGCGACGAUCCCUAGCUGGUCUGAGAGGAUGACCAGCCACACUGGAACUGAGACACGGUCCAGACUCCUACGGGAGGCAGCAGUGGGGAAUAUUGCACAAUGGGCGCAAGCCUGAUGCAGCCAUGCCGCGUGUAUGAAGAAGGCCUUCGGGUUGUAAAGUACUUUCAGCGGGGAGGAAGGCGUUGAGGUUAAUAACCUCAGCGAUUGACGUUACCCGCAGAAGAAGCACCGGCUAACUCCGUGCCAGCAGCCGCGGUAAUACGGAGGGUGCAAGCGUUAAUCGGAAUUACUGGGCGUAAAGCGCACGCAGGCGGUCUGUCAAGUCGGAUGUGAAAUCCCCGGGCUCAACCUGGGAACUGCAUUCGAAACUGGCAGGCUAGAGUCUUGUAGAGGGGGGUAGAAUUCCAGGUGUAGCGGUGAAAUGCGUAGAGAUCUGGAGGAAUACCGGUGGCGAAGGCGGCCCCCUGGACAAAGACUGACGCUCAGGUGCGAAAGCGUGGGGAGCAAACAGGAUUAGAUACCCUGGUAGUCCACGCCGUAAACGAUGUCGACUUGGAGGUUGUGCCCUUGAGGCGUGGCUUCCGGAGCUAACGCGUUAAGUCGACCGCCUGGGGAGUACGGCCGCAAGGUUAAAACUCAAAUGAAUUGACGGGGGCCCGCACAAGCGGUGGAGCAUGUGGUUUAAUUCGAUGCAACGCGAAGAACCUUACCUACUCUUGACAUCCAGAGAACUUUCCAGAGAUGGAUUGGUGCCUUCGGGAACUCUGAGACAGGUGCUGCAUGGCUGUCGUCAGCUCGUGUUGUGAAAUGUUGGGUUAAGUCCCGCAACGAGCGCAACCCUUAUCCUUUGUUGCCAGCGGU
rnacentral:rRNA from 1 species